rnacentral:misc_RNA from 1 species
UCUUCGUUAUCUUCUGACUCGGACGAGAAAAAGACCCCGACCACAAAGUCGAAGAACAUAUUUAGAAUGAAAGUAAAAGAAAAAGUUUUGAAGAAACAAUUUGACGAGUGUGACCCGGAAGUGUGCGUGGACAUGCUGAAAUCCCCGACCGUCAAGGCGUUCACAGCCCUCAAAAACAAACUGAAGAAGUCGGACAAGGUGUGGGUGCAGGGCUUUCUGGACGCUGGCGGGCUCGAUGUGUUGUUGGACGCUAUUGACAUCAUCGGGAGCCGACGCGUCACGAACCUGUCGGAGGCACUGAAGAUGUUGGAGUGCGUCUCGUGCGUCACCAAACUGGUCAACUCCAAGAGUGGGCUCUCUUUCUUGGUCACCCAUGGCAGUUAUACCCAAAAGUUGGUCAAGGCCCUUGACACAAAUAAUGUGAUGGUAAAGAAGCAAGUGUUCGAACUGUUAUCGGCACUGUGCGUCUACUCUACUGAUGGAUUCAGACUCACAAUGGAUGCGCUUGACAGCUUUAAGACGCUGAAAAAACAGAGAUACCGCUUCAGUCUGAUCGUGAACGAACUCAGAAUGGCCGACCUGGUCCCAUACAAGACCACGCUAAUGGCAUUCAUCAACUGUAUCAUCGUGGCUAAUGAAGAACUUGAGGACAGGACUAGAGUCCGCAAUGAAUUCAUCGGAUUAAACAUACUGGACCUAAUAAACAAUUUACGUAACGAAGACGACGAAGAUCUGAUUAUCCAGUGCGACGUUUUCGACGAGGAGAAGCAGUCUGACGAUGAAGAAAUGGCGGCCUUGAAUCCAGCCUGUGUUGAUAUUAACGACCACAAAGAGGUGUUCAACGCUCUUUACCACAAGGUCUACAAUACUCCUAUAGCCGAUGUGUUCCUAAAUGUACUGCAAACCCUUCUUCAAAUCGAACCGGAAAAUCCGCUGAGUGACGUCCAAUGGAACAUUGUGGAGACGUCGGUACGAAGAGCCUUUCUGAUCGACGAGGCCCACGUCAACAGAUCUGCCCUGGGGGGAGCGGAUUUACUACCCAGGUACCCGGGGAAGUCCACGGGAGUUCAGACCGACCCUAUCCCCCUUAACAGAACGCUGUCCGAGCCACCUCGAGGGAACGUUCAUUUAAUGACCAGUGUUAUAAAAGAACAUUCCGCAGAUAUUAAAGAAGCUUUAGAAGCAAGAUUAAGUAGCCAUCCAAAGCCUACCUGUGAUACUCUCAAGAGAAUUGACAAGGAGAUAGACCGGUGUUUUGAUUUUGUGAACGACAAUCCAUCGUCCCCUGAUGACGUUAAAAAUGACGGCGCUUCAGGGCCAUCUUCCCAUUUAACAACGAAUGAAGAGAAUAUUAGCAGUUCAGAAACAUCAACGACAUUUUCACCCCCUCCACCCCCUCCCCCUCCACCGCCUCCACCCCCUGUACCAGGAAGUCAAGAAUCAAACCGAUGUCCUCCUUUUAAUUCAUCUGAUUCAGCACCUGUCCCUCCUCCACCCCCACCUCCACCCCCUCCCCUCCCAGGUACGGGUCAUUGUCCCCCUCCACCUCCCCCUGCCCCGCCCCUUCCACCUGGUGUAGCCCCACCCCCUCCUCCUCCGCCACCACCCCCUCCUCCAGGCAUGGGGCCACCCAUACCACCCCCUCCCCCGCCACCUCCAGGAGUUGGAAUUCCGGCCCCUCCCCCACCUCCCCCACCCCCGGGUUGUGGACCUCCGCCGCCACCUGGGAUGGUGAAAGCACGACCAGCUCCACUGACAUUCUCCAGUAAUCAAAUUGCAUCUAAUACAAUGUGGACGCCAACCCCUAAACACAAGAUGAAAACAUUCAACUGGACCAAAGUCCCAUCUCAUACUAUAUCAUCCCAUGAAAAUGUCUGGAAAGAAAUCUUGGACAUGCAGGAUCACAUCAGCGUGAAGUAUGAAGCCUUGGAGCAGCUGUUCUGCCAGAAGCAGAUUAUGAAGGCCAAAGAAAACGAGAAGAAAAAAGUGAAACCGCCAUCGGAGAUUUUACUACUUGAUACGAAAAGGAGCAUGAAUGUAAAUAUCUUCCUGAAACAGUUCAAAUGCAGCCACAGUGAAAUCAUUUCAAUGAUUGAGUCUGGCGAUAUGAAUACCAUUGGUUCAGAGCGCCUGCGCGGUUUGCAAAAAAUACUUCCGGAAAGCGAUGAGGUAAACCUGGUGAAAGGUUUCGAGGGCGACAAAGAAAAGCUAGGCAAUGCAGAGAAAUUCUUCUCCGUAUUCAUUCAGUUACCAGCCUUUAAAAUCCGUAUCGAUGGCCUGGUUCUAAAGGACGAGUUUCGACUUACUAUGGACUCGUUACUACCUAACAUCACUGCCUUUGUGAGCGCGUGCCAGCACCUCUUGGAGAACGAAUCCUUCAAAGUCUUCUUACGUUACGUAUUGCACGCUGGGAAUUUCAUGAAUGCGGGAGGUUACGCUGGCAAUGCCAUGGGUUUCCGCAUCAACUCUUUGAAUAAGCUGAUGGACACGAGGGCCAACAAGCCGCGGGUCACCCUCCUGCACUACCUGGUGGGGGAGGCAGAGAAAGAGAACCAGGACGCCCUCAACUUCGUGGAGGAGCUCUCCCCAGAUCUGGCCAAAGCGUCAAAGUUCACUGUAGACUCUUUAACAGCGGAAGUGAGACAAAUUAAAACCAGUGUUACUAAACUCCAUAAAGAUCUAGAGAGCUGUCCAGAUGACGUCAAAAACCAACUCAAAACUUUUAUACAAGAUGCUGAAAAGGAGAUGGAGGCAUUGGACAAAGGUCUGCAGAAAAUAGCCGAGCUGACGAAACAACUGGUUAAUUACUUCUGUGAAAACGAGAAAAGUUUCAAAAUAGAGGAAUGCAUCAGUAACUUAAACACGUUCUGUGAUCGGGUGAAACAAUGCCAAAAGGAGAAUCUGCAGAGGAAACAGCAAGAAGAGAAAGCUGAGCGUAGAAAGAAACAACAACAGGAAAUGGCAAGCAGACGGACCAAAAGUGGCCCUACUGUAAUAGAACCAGAAGAGGACGGCUGUAUAAUAGACCGCCUGUUGCAGGAUAUUAAGAAGGGAUUCAAGCUCAGGAAAACAAGCCCAUCACCUUCAUCUAGCAACAAGAAAGACGUCAAAAGCUCUCCUCUCCCUUCUCCAAAGCGGGUCGUCAAAAUGGCGUCAUCUCCUUCGCUGGAUGUGCGAACCACAAAGGGUUCGUCAUCAGUGGUUGACACGGUGAAAGAAAACAACGAGGAAAUUCGGACAACAAGUGACAAUGGUAGCAAGGAAUCGGGAACGGAAUGGUCAGAGACCUCCAUUAAAGACCCCCAAAAAACACAACCGGAAUGUUCUUCCGAGAACUUGUCAAUUACUUCUAAAUCACAAUCAAAUAAUGAUCAAAAUAAUGAUGUUGAGUGUGUAGUCGAUGACAUUAAAUGUAUCGCUGAUGACGGUGUAAAGUCUCCUGUCGGCGAAAACGGGAUUUCUACGCAAUCUUCGGAAGAGGUCCCCGUAAAACAUUCAGCGACAGACUCACAGGCGUAAUUGCAUGGAAAUAAACAUGCACUGUUUUCCGAUAUUGUGAUAUUUGGAGUUGUACAAUCUAUGAAUUCCAUUCUGUAUUCAUGUUUAAUUAAGUAUCAAAUUAAAAUAUUUUUGAUUUAUUAAACUUUUUAUCAUUAU